rnacentral:rRNA from 1 species
UACGGAGGGUGCAAGCGUUGUCCGGAAUCACUGGGCGUAAAGGGCGCGUAGGCGGCUCAUGAAGGCUGUGGUGAAAGUCCGGGGCUCAACCUCGGAUCGGCCGUGGCGACUCGUGCGCUGGAGCACUGUAGAGGCGGGUGGAAUUCCGGGUGUAGCGGUGGAAUGCGUAGAGAUCCGGAAGAACACCGGUGGCGAAGGCGGUUAGCUGGGCAGUUGCUGACACUGAGGCGCGACAGCGUGGGGAGCAAACAGG